rnacentral:rRNA from 1 species
ACCAGAGACAUAUCUCCCUGCAGUUCUCACCUGGUUUCUCACUGAUGCUAAGCAGUGUGGAGCCUGGCUAGAAUCUGGAUGGGAGACCUACUGGGAAACGCUAAGUUUGCUGCUGGAA